rnacentral:lncRNA from 1 species
GGCGCAUGAGCUCAAUGGGCAUAGCUCACUAAGCCCAAGCAAGCCUAUCCAUUUACCUUUGCUUAACAAAUUUAUCAUAUCAUGCAUACACACAUACACACACACACACACACACACACACACACCUUUUUUCGGGUGUGAACAUAGCCAAAACACAAUGACAUUAUCGAUAAUAAUAUACAUGCACUAUAUCAGUCAUGUAUUAAGCAAUUUACAUUGCAUACACAUAUUCACACUGUUAGAUUGUAUUCACAAUACUAAAGGACCCAUGACUUCCAGCUGAGACAUUUACAAUAAAAAGGAUUACUAUCGAAUGCCAGACACAUACCCAGGAGAUGCACUACGGGGACUCCUCGAUCUAGGGUCCAACAGUCACCU